rnacentral:rRNA from 1 species
UACGGGGGAUGCGAGCGUUAUCCGGAUUUAUUGGGUUUAAAGGGUGCGUAGGCGGGCUUUUAAGUCAGCGGUAAAAAUUCGGGGCUCAACCCCGUCCGGCCGUUGAAACUGGGGGUCUUGAGUGGGCGAGAAGAAGGCGGAAUGCGUGGUGUAGCGGUGAAAUGCAUAGAUAUCACGCAGAACCCCGAUUGCGAAGGCAGCCUUCCGGCGCCCUACUGACGCUGAGGUACGAAAGUGCGGGGAUCGAACAGG